AGCGGGGUAGAAAGGCAGAAUUUUAGGCAGGCCCCAUGUGUAGCACAGAGUCCAAUGCGGGGCCCGAUCCCCUGACCCUGGGAUCACCACCUGAGCCGAAACCGAGUUGGACACGAAAACGAUGGAGCCACCCGGGUGCCCCUAGGAUGAAACUCGCGCAAGUACAUCUUACCCGGCGUCUGGGGCACUCAGUAGAGGGUGGUGCUUCCAACCAGGCGGGAUCUCCGAGCCUCACGUUGAAAGGGCCCGGGGCAGACGCAAGCGCGCCUGUCUUCUGCGCCCACCAGAGGGCAGCAGGGAGCCGCGCCAGACCUAGGACACCACUCGGGUGGCCGUGCACCCUCCAGGAGACCCCUUUCCACGUCAGGGGCGGGUCUGCCACUGACCCGCCGGAAACCCCUUCUCCCCCAGGUGUCUGUUCCUGUCAAAGAUGAGGCCCCGGGCCCAGAGCCCAGCCUUGACUUGUGAGGACGACACGGGAGCCGUGGGUACACUGGCCGCAGGACCCUGCUAAAGACGCCCGGCGUGGACGUGUCCGAGCCGCGCUAUUACUGCGACGCGAACCCGGCCUCGCCCCCGCACGCGCUCGGCUGCCUGGUAGCCAAGGAGGGGACGCGACCACACGGCACGGCCGCCACAGCUGUCCCUCCAGCCCGCCCUAGGGAGGUGGGGUGCGGAAGCGGAUCUUCUUGGCCGUCUCCACGUCAGAUUUGGCAACCAGAAAGCGCAUCUUCUUUCCUCCGUGUCGGAUCAGGUCCACAGCCCUGAAAGCCGGCCCGGGGAGACGCUUGGCGUGGCCGACUUGCCACGGGUCCAGCCUCGGGGCCCGGAACCGGUACCCUGAGGUCUGAGGACAGAGGGGACACGGCCAGCCGGGGAAGCGGCUGCCGCACGGGCCCUUCUCUGAAGCGCCACCGAGCUGCCCCACUGAGCCCGGUCCCGAGCCUGCGGCCGGCCCUGCCCCGCCCCGCCCGCCCGUGGUCUCCCAGUGACUGCGCGAGCCGUGGGCCUGCGUGGGGCAGUCCUGAGCAGGAGGAGCCCAGGGGGCCGCUCACCAUCCCGUCGAUCAGGCCCAUCCCCAGGCCGGAGGGACCCCGCUCCAGCUCUACCACGAACACGUAGCAGAAGUCCUCGGCGCUGGAGCUGCGGCUGGAGAGGGCUGGCGGGGGCUCGUCCGCCGGAGCCACGCCGUCUCCUGGGCAGGUCAGAUCAGGCCUUCAGGCAGAGCGUGUGGCUGCAGUCCCCUCACCAGCAAGCAGGUGCCUUGCCUCAGGCCCGGAUCUGCCCAGGUGACCCCUGGCCUUGGGGCACACCCAGAGUCUGCAGGGGCACUGCCGGGGGCGGCACUGCCGGGGGCUGCUCUGCCCUGCACUUCAGGGCCCCCCCCGCCCUCCCCCCAGCCUCCUACCUGGUGCACACCACCUAAGCCGUCCCUUCCUCCACCCUGGGGGGAGGGACUUCGUCCCACAGGUGGCUGUGCACCCUGUGCCCUUCGACGGGGGCCUGAACCACCCUGCGCCCGCCUCACGUGGCCCCUAGAGCCUGCCCAGCACGGGCUACGGGCGUUCAUGGGCAGGUACCAGAAGCCCAGGCCAAACGUGCCCCUAGGGCCGCACGGUUACAGUGACCCAAAGGGGCCCCGCCCAGGUGCCGGGGAGGGGGGGGGGGACUGGGGGCUGUUGGGAGCCUGGGGACAGG